CCCAGGCCAGAGCCUCCCCAUAGCUUUUCUCUGCAGGAGGAGGUUCAUUGUUUGCUUGGUGCAGGAUUUAUAAGACUUUUUUUGAACCAAUUCUUUUAAUGAGCAUUGGAACCAGCCUAGGAAACCAUGAUAGAAGGCUGUGACCUUUGACAACCCUCCUGGUGAUGGGAAGAAUAGAGCAUCUGGAUGCCAGGAAGAUAAGAAGGUUGGGAAGGCAGCUGGGUCUGCAAGAAAAAGCAACCAAACUCCAUUCUGUGAGUUCUCAGUUUGAAGAAGAAAAAUCUCCAUUUCUGACUCCAGAAAGAUGGAAAUUCCUGGAAUGGAAGACUGCGAAAUAGGCAGCAACUCAUCUGGGUGUGGCAUCCUUCUGAGGGAUUUAAUUUCUUCCCAGAGACCAUGAGGCAAAGCAGUGAAAUCGAAACUGUUAUUGCAAAGAUUUCUCUGGUAGCAAUUCAAUGAGUUUCAAUGAUAGCAUCCUAAUAUCAAAACCAGGAUCCUUGCAUUUCAAAGUUCCAUCCAUGACUUUAAUUUCUCUACAGGACUGAUAAAAGGUCAAUUUUUUCAUGAGCACUGGAGACUUUGUUCUAGAGACUGUACUGUAUCUUCUUGUUUGGACCUCAGUCAAGAACCCUCUUCCAAAGUUUUCCUCAAAAGAGGAAAACACAGAGUAUACCACAGUCUGGUUGCCUGACGCUUGACUACGGAGGAAGAACUUGAUUAUUUAUUUGGAAUAUUUCUACAGUACAACAGAGAGACAGUGAGGCUAAAGAUGGAGCAGGACAGGACAAGCUCUCUUAUGCACCUGCUGCAACUGCAAAAAGUAUUUGAGAAAGAAUAUAUUCUUCUCCAGGUGGGAUAUCCACAGCCUGGGCUUUCCCUGUUUUCAGUAACAGAGUAAAGUGGAGUCUGUUGCAUGCUCCUUCCUCUCACAUUCUGUAUGAUUGCCAUGGUGAGAACUGGAUCUUGCUACUGGAGUCUCUAAACUGAUCAAGACCUGAGUCUGUGCAAACGAGGAACUGAUUUGGUUCUGUGAAGAGAGAACAGACAAAAAGGGCAUCUGCCCUUUUGGUCACCCCUUACUCCACACUGUUCUGUAUGGUUCUCCCAAAAUAGUGGUUGAAAAGAGAUGAUUAUGCUGUGCAUAAUCACACAGACAAGGGUUUCAAUUUGUGAGAGUAUUCUCUGCAUUUUCUAGUUCUGUAGUUCUGUGGAGGUUUUCCUAAAUGAGCUGUGGCUGAGGGAAGUACAAAAAUUAACUGCCCCUCUUCAGGACAUAAGGUGUAAAAUUAAAGCCAUCAGAAAGAGGAAACCACACUUACAACAACCAAAGGCUCAACUUCUGUCAGCUCAGCCCAGAGCUCUCCCCACCAUUGUCUGCCCUUGGAAUUAGAUUCCAGUUGCGUUUUCUGAAGUACCUCAUUGACUACAGCUUAAAUUUUCCUUAUGUAUGAUUUGAAAAGCCUGGCUAUACUUUUUGUUCACCCCAGCCACAUCAAUUUCAAUGACUCCUCUAUUCUGGAAUUAAUGACAGAGCAUACUUUGUGGUCCUGUUGUACAGAUCCUAGGAACAAACGACUUCAGGCUGCUGUAGUCAUUUAGGAGAGAUAGGACCUCCACAGCAUAAUUCAUCUUUUCUGUCUUAAACAGCUGGUUUAGGAUGGAAUAAAUCACCCUCUGGAAGUGUCUGUCUCUCCCCACUGACAAUUAAGGGACCCUAAUAACCACCUAACUUCACAGAUAUGAGAUGAAGGCCAAUGGAUCUCAUCAUAAACAGGAAAGUGAACAAUGCACUUGGGCUGCAUUCCCUAGCUGAAAAGGGACUCCAGACAAAUGUUAGCAUUCACAAACUUUGUGUCUUCAAAGAAAAGCUGAUUUACUUUAAGGACUGAAGAAAAAUGUUAUUGAAAUGCUACUUUGUUAAUACCUUAGAAGUAGAAAGACAGAAAUAUCCUAGGGACAACAUUAAAUACAAGCUAGUAGCUGCAAGCAGGAGGAACCCCAAGCUAUACCCCUUGACUUUUAAGGUUCCUUUAAUUUGAAUGGUAGGAUUAUGUUAGAAAUAAGUAAGAUAAUAUUUUGGAACUCUUUAUGAAAUGAAGAAUAAAAAAAUCAAAGUAAUCAAACCUUUCAUUUCAGAGCAUAAAUUAUUAGGCAUACAAAGCCAUCUGGCAUCCUCCACCCAGUCGGAGCCCAGGAUAAGAUUGCAUUCCUUUCCUAGAAGUGGCUGGAUCAUGUAUGCAACUUGGUACCUUGUGAGAGAUGUGGUAAGAGAACCUAAAAUGGGGCUUCUGGUCAGUGGCAUAACUGCUGCUUCUUUGUUCUGAAGCACAAGUCCAAAGUGUGGUAAGAAGUCUUAUGAAAUUUAUUCCAAAAAUGGACUUGUUAGCCACAGAAUAAUGUCUCCCAGAAAAUUAACUUUGUUUCUUCUGCCCAUCUGAUCAGAAAAAACAACUUGUUCCACAACCAAUUUAUAAAAAGAAACACUGAAAACUUAUUAAAAAAGUUUUCAAGACGAUUAAAAUGAGGACAAAUAAACGCAGAAAAAGAAUUUUCUACCUCUGUAUGCAAUAUGCUUUUAUAUUUAAAAUCAUUAACUUCUCACAGUGAAAAACAGAUGACAGAAUAACAUGUUUUUAAUGUGUUGCACAGAUUUGACUUCUAGCAUCAUUACUUGAUUUUUAAUUUUUCUGCUUUUAAACUUACCAUUAUUGCAAGGACGUCAGUGCAGCUCAUUUUCCUUAUCCAGUGGGAGGACUGGAAAAGUUGAGGGAAAUGGUGAUUUGGAGACCAUUUGGUCAUGGUGCAAGUGAGCUCCUUCUUAGUAUUCAGUGUUGCUUAGACACACAACUUUUACCUCUUCUGGGACAGGAAAGGUUGUGCAUGUAUGCAGGAACAAGGGAUGACUUAGAGACAACAAAUGUUGCAGAAUAAUUCACGUUAGGAAACACAGGAGAAGGAAAAUACCCAAAAAGCUCACUAAUUUAAAGUCACUCUUGGAUUUUUAACAGAAAAUUUGUAAUGAGUGAUGUCUUACAGUGAUUAGUAUAGUCAAUUUUAUAACAUGAGAUAAAAAGCUUUUCAAUUAUGAGUUUUCCAUCCCUCAUCCCUGAAUAUUUCAUUCAUUUCUGAAUAUCUGGAAUGAGUGGAGUCCCAGUUGUCUUGAAAGAUCACUUUAUAUUUAGCAGUAUUUUACAUGCUGCCCUCAUCAACUGAAGCCCUAACAAAGCCAUCAGCUCCUCACAAAGGUGAGGAGACUUUAGACUCAUUGUUAUGCAAAGGGUUAGUGCUGUUGCUUUUAGAUUAUUACUGUCCUGAAUUACUUUUUGAUUAUUACUGUCUUGAUGCAAUGCAUAAGGCAAACUGCACUGCAAAUGGAUGCACGUGUUUAGCAGUUACCUUGUUUGUUAAACAGAAAUUAGAUGUUCAGAGUGCACAGACUGAGCUAAACACUUGAAAUAUCAUCAAGGAAGUGCAGAAGCUAGAUGCAUAAAUAAAGUCUAUUGGAUGUCCCUAACAUAAUUGGCACUGUCACUACCUCUGGUCUUUUUAGGUAUAUCCAGUUGCUUGAAGCUCUUCAUCUUUGUUGUUUUUUUUUCAUGGAACCAUAUUUUCUCACCUCCGCCCCCAGUCAACAGUGACUAUUUAAAACAAGAAGAAAUACUUCUGUGUUUUUUGGCUGGAGUCACUGUUGCCCCACUGAGCAUCCCAGGAGAUUUUGGGGCCAUGGCUGUGCCCAGGGUGCUCUCUGCUGCAGAGCUUCUCUCUGCAAACUGACCCCAAGGAGGCUGUUCUUCUAUCAAAGACUUGAACAACAGGUGUAGUAUCAAAGAUGACAAGCCUUUACCACCUUCAUCUCUGAGAAAAGCAGCAGCAUAAUGAAGAUAAAUAGGAAUUUUAGAGACAGGUAAUCACAUGAUAACACAUCCUUGUUAUUUAAUACCACCAGAGCUAUUUCAAAUAGUGUUAGGACUUGUCUGUGCCCACCAGGAUCAAGUUCUGCUAAUCAGUGAUCUGUAAAUGUGCAUGGUUCAUUAGGGCCCUGAGAACAGCUGUCCAUGUCCGCUCAGGAUCAGAUUACAGGAUAUCAUUAACCUGGAUUCUAUAUCCACUUCAAAGCUUUUGUUACAACUAACUCAUAAUUCUUUUUCUUAAUUUUUAAAAAUUGUCCUGGAAACCAGGAGAGCUAAAGACUAAGGUUUCUGUUUUACCUGCUUCUGUUCAGUAUCAUUUUAACAUACAUUCAAAAGAAAAGCUGUAAAUAUAAUGUUCAUUGUAACUCGUGCAAUAAAAUACAGAAUAGCUUCGUGCCUCAUACACAUGUCUGUGCUCAAGCUUUACAGUUGAAUAGUUUCAGAGGAACUACUUAAAUCUAAUCUCCUACUGCCUCUAAAAUAUGUAAAAAUGCAUGUAUAAUAAAACCACAUUUUAUAUUUCAGAGUAAGCUUUCCAGUUUACUUCGGUAACUUUUAUCUGAUAAAAUAAUACAUUGGUCUGGCUAUUACUGCAUGACUUAAGAAUAGCUCCGGAAACAUAAGGCUGAACAGCUCCUUCCCAUGAACUGUACUCUAAUUGUGGUAUGGGCUGCUUGACUUUAAAUGCUUCCUACUACAAUAAGAAAUGUAUAGGACAUAUGUAGAAAAAAGAGGUGGUAUUAUUUUACUUCCUUUUUUUGAGGCUAUUUACUUCUUUCUACCUUUUCUUCUUUCUUAAUUCAAAAAGAGAUUCAAUAAUUCAAAGAAAAAGAUGGGUUCAAAAUUGAUGUCAUUGGGAACUGGAAUAAAAAUAAAUCAACAUAUUAAUAGCUGAAUUUAAUCAGUUAUCAUGACUAUUAUUCUCCCAGGGCAUCUAAACACUCGUAAACUAGAUUCAUGAAUCAUUUAGGCAAAUAACAAUACCCAAUAUAAAUAAUUACACUAACAAAAAGGCAGAAAAGAGUGCUCUAAUACAGCCAUUGCUGUCUACAGCAAAUGUGAGUUUAUAAUAUCCUGUUUUACUCAUGUCAGCCAUUGGGCAAUUGCUGAUUAAUAGAUUUGUUAUUAGACACUAGGCCUGAUUGUUCACUGCUGUUCUUAUAAGCAGAUUUCUUACAUUGAAUAUAUUCAAAAUCUACUUAUUUCUGUACAUGGAACAGGAUUAGGUUCUUAAAACAGCUGGAAUUCCUAGAACAGUUUAUAAAAUAGUAAGAUUAAUAAAUUAAGAUUAAUUAAUAAAAUAUUAAUGCAAACUUCAAAUAUCUGGAUAUAGUAUGAUGUUUAAGCUAAGGAUCUAGGGAAAAAAAGUGUUUCUGAAAGAAACGUUGUGGAUAUUGUGGCCAAAAAUCCAUCUCUUGUAACAGGACAUACUGAAAAUCAGAUUUGAUGUACGCCAGAUAUUUGGGUAGCAUUCUAAAUGGAGUGGCUCUGAAGUGAGGCUGUCAAUCCAUACAUAGACACCAAAGCAAACUGAUCAGUUCCCUCCAUGAGAAGUUUGUAAAACAUUUGCAAGAAGGGUGGAACUGGUCCCCUCAUCAUUAAAUAAACAUUCUUCCUCUGAGUCCCUCGACAGGCUCAAAUGGAGUGAUGUUUUACAAUUAAAAAAGCCCCAGAUUUAUAAACCCAUUUACACAGAAUCAAAUGCUGCCUGAAACAAAACAAUACAACCAUGGAGCUUUGAGGUCUCAUUUAUGGAGCCCAGUUCUGUUUCAGGGCCUUGAUUGUCUCUUGUUUUUUCUGAAAAAGCUUUUCCAUAGGGAUGACUUUAGAUUGUGAUAGUAGGACAUUGAAGCCUGAAAAUUUUAGCCAUACCAUUUAGCUUUCUGUAGUCUCAGUCCAAAAAUGUUAACGCUCCUGCUCUGGCAUGGAUGCUUAAUAAUAUAAGUGAGCAGAAUUAAACACAGUUGUGUAUGCUGUGCCCUUAAACCUCUGGCUGUGAAAAUGUGUUCAUUUUUGCUCUGUAUAAAUGAUGUGCUAUAUACAUUUUCUUAGCAAAAGACAGGGAAAAUAAUACUCAGAUUUUAAACAAUUUCAGAUGAAUUUUGCUCAGAAGAAAAGUGCACUUGUCUUUAAAAAAAGAAGGUGCUGAGGACUGCCUUUGACAGAAACAGCUUCACGGGAACUCUCAGAUGCUGACACACUGACCCUCAGCGCUUGGCUGCAGUUACCAAGAAAUUAUUUGGGGCAUAUGGAGGGGGAUGUCAGUGUAACAGUAUCGGCUUGUAAAGAGAGCUUGGAAUUCAAAUUCCCCUUGUGAAGGCUUUAAGUGGAAGCAAUGCCACAGCACUCCACAGUCACAGUGCUCUUCAUCAGCUCAGUACUUCUCAAGCACAUGGAAAUCCAGUUCACAGUUUAGAAUUGGAGGUUCUGGUGCCUUCCUUUGGCGAAUCUUCAUUGUUGACAUCCUAGGAGACUUUUUGAGGCUUGUAGGAACUAAAGAAGAGCAAUUUCCUUACAGAGUUAGCCACAGGAUUAUUUUUCAGCGUUUGAGGCUACCUGGGAGGCCAGGGGUUGCCAACCAGUUCCAAAGCAAAACCAGGCCUUUUUUUAACCUUGGAUGUCUGUGUAUCUUUUGCACUUGGAGGGCUUUUACAUCAGCGGAUCUGGCAAUCAUGCCUGGAAGUAAAAUGUCCAAAGGAAGCAUCUGCUUCAAACUCUGCUCCUUGGCCAGCGUGAUGCCAAGGUACCUGCACUCCUCCACAGAGCCCUGCUGCCAUUGGGAACACCCUUGUGCAUGUGGGGAACAGAUUGCCUUCAGCAGCCACACCAAGACACAGGAUUUACUCUUGAAGAAACUUUGCCUCUUGUCAAAUUAUGUCUCUUUUGCACCUCCAAUGAAUGAGAACUUCUUUGUCCCCAUAUCCCCGGAGACAUUUACUAUAUGCACACCCCAUGGCUGAAGAGAUGGAAAGUGAACUUUUAUGUGUUGGGGCUGGGUUUGCUCAAGGUGCUCAUAUACAUGGUGAUGGGCAUGUUGGAGAAACUGAAUAGGACAGAAUAUGCUGCCAGCUCUGUUUGAAGUUGCUUUCUUCCCAGUGAGGUGUUCUGAUUGUGCCUUCAUCCUGUGCAAAGACAUUAUCAUUCAUUUAAUACAGCUUAAAGUGCAAAGAUAAGAGUACAGUCUCUGUGUGGGGGACUCAUCUAAGGCUGCAGUUCAUUUCUGAACUGGUCAGCAAACAAGAGCAGUUACUGGAGGGAAUACAAGUGAAUAAUGUAGACCAAGCCUGAUGAGAUCUAUGGAUGAAUCAUUCUCUUUUCUAAUCUCUUACUUUAAAGAAAAAAUAAAGGAAUAAGACUGGAAAUGAAGCACUAGUUUUUUUAACAGUCUGUGCAAUUAACUAUUGAAACUGCUUGCUAUGGAUUGUCCUUCAUUUGAAGGCUUUCAUACAAGGCAGAAUGUCUUUCUAAAAAGGUUCAAAUAGAAUCAGCCUUGAUGGCAGUAUCCCUACUUUGUGUGAGGGCACAGAGGAGAUUUCUGUUACAACACUCCUGGCCUUAGACUCCCAGUUAGUUUCACUUUAGUUCCUCUCCCCCUGCUUGGUAGGAAAAGAGUUUUUUUAAUUAGACAGUGAAGUAAUAAUUUAGUUCUUAGAGAUUAUAUAUAUAUAUAUAUAAUAUAGAUAUAUAGCUGCAGUUUUAGAUUUAGUUUUAAUAGUAGACUCAUGCAAAAAAGUCCUGUAUGUCCAUCAUGUCUUUGUCUUUACUUUGCUUGUGGUGAUUAAAUUUUUUAAGAUUCCAGCUCCUGUGACUAAAGCCAGCACCAAGAAUAGAGGGAAGGUCUUUGUUCUAAAUCCACUAGAAUGAAAUAUGUGACACAAAUAAGCACAAAAAUAAAGCAUCAUAUCAAGACGCACAGCAAGGUCAGAGAUUUUCAUACGUGUGUGGCUCAGGUAAUGGAACUCUGCUGGCUAUCAUUAUCUCCCUAGCAUGACCUUAAAAGUGUUGCUUUUUAAAUAAUCACUUAGUGCUUAGACUUAAGGCACAUGAUGUCAUUUUGGACACGUGAAAUUGCUAAAGCUGCAUUGGUUGGUAUGCAUAACCCAGGGCCAUGGAGAAGGCUUGCUCUCUUACACAAUGACAGCAGGAAGACAGGCAGGAGAGGCAGGAGGCUCUUAGGUCUUACCAAUACCUCUGCAUCACCAGGGAGUUAUUCAUGCAGCAAUUCACUUCUCUGCUUCUUAAUAGAUUAAGCAUAUUUGCUUCAUUGUUUUUUAAAUUCAACAGCGUAAUAAUUUAAGAAAGAAAAUUAGGAUGAGAUGAAGACUUCAGAUGGCCUGCACUGGUCUGUCUUCAUUAAUUUAAGAUAGGGGUAUAUUAUGUUAUCUGAGAACUUAUCCCAUAAUACUUAAUUACUUGAAUAACAUCUGUGAUAGGCAACUGAUUCCAAGAGAACUGAAGUGAAGCCAGGGCUGUCAGUGAACUUUCCCCAUGGUAAUUUAAGCUACUGUUCUGGUCUCUUUUCAGUAUUAUUUAUGGCUGGCUAAUUUGACUACCACAAAAAAAGUACAUAAACCCAGCCUUUAAAAGAUCUAUUCCAGAUAGCAGAUUAUCUUGGAGGUAACAGUGCUUCAACAUUUUGUCAAAAUACCAAGCUGGUCCUGUGGGAGGUUUGAAAAUAUUUCCUCUCCUUUGAGGUCUUGGUUCUGCUCAAUGUGACCUGCACAGCAAACACUUUGAGAUGAGGGUGUAGAGUUUGAGCUUACAUUUUCAAUCUUACUGCAAUUAUAAUAAUUAGGAGGAUCUGACACUGGUCUCUGUUUUCUUUCUGAAUAUUAAUCCUGUUCAUUGUCGCUUGUAGGCAUUGACCAGCAUUCUAAAUGUGUUAAUUAACUGUACUUUUAUUAAUAGCCAUCCCAAAGAAAAGGCAUAAGUCUAAGACAAUUUCCUGCAUUUACUUUCAAAAAUUCAAAUUCAGAUCCCUUUUCAAAAGAUCCCAAUUUUGAUAUGUUAGACUGAAGUAUACAAUGUGUGUGUCCUAGCCUUCAGGCUUAUCUGGAAUCUACAUCUGAAUAAUGUUAGGCUUUCAGCCUCUACAUUUAAGAAAAAUUUAAUCUCUCUAAAAGGUCAUGAUCUAACAGCAGAACUCAGAAAAUAAAUCAGGGCAGCUGUCACUAUCAUUUGGUCAGAAAUGAAUACUAAAAUUCCAAAAACUGAAACCUAGAAGUUGGAAAUUAGACAAAAGAAAAUGAAAUAACAAUAGAAAACAGUUUUAAUAGUGGUAUAUGGGGUAUUUGUUGGUGAAUAAAUUGUUAAUGGAAAUUUCCU